AUGGUCUGGGGAAAGGCUCCUGUUGUGAGUGCAGUCUCGAACCAGGCAGCCCUACCCUGACUAAAGUAAAUUCCCAGGAGAAGUUUUUUUUGGGUUUUGAAUUUGCAGCAACGGGUUUGAACAUUCUAGUAGCAGUUUGAUGAUCAUGUAUGAUACUGCAAACAAGA